GUCAGGAUGGUCGAGUGGUGGUCUAAGGCGAAUCCUGCGUUCAUUUUUUGACUGUCGAAGGCGUGGGUUCGAAUCCACUUCUGACA